rnacentral:rRNA from 1 species
UGAGGGAAUAUUUGGGGUCAAUGGGCGAGAGCCUGAACCAGCCAAGUAGCGUGCAGGAUGACGGCCCUAUGGGUUGUAAACUGCUUUUAUAAGGGAAUAAAGUGGGUCUCGUGAGACUUUUUGCAUGUACCUUAUGAAUAAGGACCGGCUAAUUCCGUGCCAGCAGCCGCGGUAAUACGGAAGGUCCGGGCGUUAUCCGGAUUUAUUGGGUUUAAAGGGAGCGUAGGCCGGAGAUUAAGCGUGUUGUGAAAUGUAGUGGCUCAACCUCUGCACUGCAGCGCGAACUGGUCUUCUUGAGUACGCACAACGUGGGCGGAAUUCGUGGUGUAGCGGUGAAAUGCUUAGAUAUGACGAAGAACUCCGAUUGGGAAGCCAGCUUACUGUAGCGCCACUGACGCUGAUGCU